rnacentral:tRNA from 1 species
GCGAGAGUGGCGGAACUGGUAGACGCGCCAGACUUAGGAUCUGGUGCCGCAAGGUGUGGGGGUUCGAGUCCCCCCUCUCGCACCA